UACGGAGGGAGCUAGCGUUGUUCGGAAUUAUUGGGCGUAAAGAGCUCGUAGGCGGUUUGUCGCGUCGGCUGUGAAAACCUGGGGCUCAACCCCGGGCCUGCAGCCGAUACGGGCAAACUAGAAUUCGGUAGGGGAGACUGGAAUUCCUGGUGUAGCGGUGAAAUGCGCAGAUAUCAGGAGGAACACCGGUGGCGAAGGCGGGUCUCUGGGCCGAUAUUGACGCUGAGGAGCGAAAGCGUGGGGAGCGAACAGG
rnacentral:rRNA from 1 species